CCUGGCACUCCUCAUCACCGUGCUGGAUCCUUUCACACAUCAUUUCCAGGAUGCUGAGACCUGCAGUCUUGGGCACAGCAGCGAAGGAACAUCUGCAGGGGGAGAGAGCACUGCAUAGCGCAGCUCCUGCAAGAUGAUGGCAUGGGAAAGGAUGAAAGGAUCCCUCUCACUGCUCCAGAUCUGGAUCCUGAGACAGACAUCAUUUGUGCAACACGUGUCAAAGCCUCUGUGACAAAGGGGGAUUCUGUGGCAAAUAUGACACACAGAGUGAAACCCAGGAAGAUCGAGACCCUUGAAGGCCCAGACCAAGUCUACCAUGACAGCCUCCUGCCAUCAGCUCCAUAUCAAGCAAGGGCAUCUGGAAGCUUGUUUGGGAUGGAA
rnacentral:lncRNA from 1 species